rnacentral:rRNA from 1 species
GAUGAACGCUGGCUACGGCUUAACACAUGCAAGUCGAGGGGAAACGACGGGGAAGCUUGCUUCCCCGGGCGUCGACCGGCGCACGGGUGAGUAACGCGUAUCCAACCUGCCUCUGACUGAGGGAUAACCCGUCGAAAGUCGGCCUAAUACCUCAUGGCAUCGUCUGCGGGCAUCCAACGACGAUUAAAGAUUUCAUCGGUCAGGGAUGGGGAUGCGUCUGAUUAGCUUGUUGGCGGGGUAACGGCCCACCAAGGCUACGAUCAGUAGGGGUUCUGAGAGGAAGGUCCCCCACAUUGGAACUGAGACACGGUCCAAACUCCUACGGGAGGCAGCAGUGAGGAAUAUUGGUCAAUGGGCGAGAGCCUGAACCAGCCAAGUAGCGUGCAGGAUGACGGCCCUAUGGGUUGUAAACUGCUUUUAUGCGGGGAUAAAGUGAGGGACGUGUCCUUCAUUGCAGGUACCGCAUGAAUAAGGACCGGCUAAUUCCGUGCCAGCAGCCGCGGUAAUACGGAAGGUCCGGGCGUUAUCCGGAUUUAUUGGGUUUAAAGGGAGCGUAGGCCGUGGAUUAAGCGUGUUGUGAAAUGCAUGUGCUCAACGUCUGCACUGCAGCGCGAACUGGUCCACUUGAGUGUGCACAGCGCAUGCGGAAUUCGUGGUGUAGCGGUGAAAUGCUUAGAUAUGACGAAGAACUCCGAUUUGCUAAGGGCAGCUUGCGGGAGCACAACUGACGCUGAAGCUCGAAAGGUGCGGGUAUCGAACAGG